rnacentral:rRNA from 1 species
AUUGAACGCUGGCGGCAUGCCUUACACAUGCAAGUCGAACGGCAGCACGGGUGCUUGCACCUGGUGGCGAGUGGCGAACGGGUGAGUAAUAUAUCGGAACGUACCUUAUUGUGGGGGAUAACGCAGCGAAAGCUGUGCUAAUACCGCAUAAUCCCUAAGGGGGAAAGCGGGGGACCGUAAGGCCUCGCGCAAUUAGAGCGGCCGAUACCUGAUUAGCUAGUUGGUGAGGUAAAGGCUCACCAAGGCAACGAUCAGUAGCUGGUCUGAGAGGACGAUCAGCCACACGGGGACUGAGACACGGCCCAGACUCCGACGGGAGGCAGCAGUGGGGAAUUUUGGACAAUGGGGGCAACCCUGAUCCAGCAAUGCCGCGUGAGUGAAGAAGGCCUUCGGGUUGUAAAGCUCUUUUGUCAGGGAAGAAACAGCAGCUCUAACACAGUUUGCGAAUGACGGUACCUGAAGAAUAAGCACCGGCUAACUACGUGCCAGCAGCCGCCGUAA